AUCGCUUCUUGGCCUUCUGGCUAAGAUCAAGUGUAGUAUCUGUUGUUAUCAGUUUAAUAUUUGCUAUGUCCUGUAUCUGAGGACAGUAUAUUAACUGUAUUUUUGGAACAGGGAGAUGGAAUAGGAGCUUGCUCCAUCCACUCCACACAUUGACCCAGUAUUGCAGUACCUCUGGGAAUGUGCAAAAACA